GCAUUAUAACUCUAAUACAAAUCCUUAACUCUUCACCAACUUUUCAAGUUCAAGUUUAAGUUUAGUUUAUUUGCCACAUACACAUGCGAGAUACGCAGUGAAAUGAAAAGUGGCAAUGCUCGUGGAUUGUGCAACAAAACAAACAAACUACAAACAGAAUGGAACAGAAUCACAUAUUACAUAUUUGUGGGAGGAAAGAAAAGGAAAAAUACAGCAAUUUUAAAAAACAGUAAAGUGGUGCAAUAAAGUUGGUCCCUGGUGAGAUAGGAGUUUACAGUCCUCAUGGCCUCUGGGAAGAAACUCCUUCUCAUCCUCUCCGCUCUCACAGCAUGGCAACGGAGGCGUUUGCCUGACCGUAGCAAGCAAACAAAAGCAGAAGAAAGAAUAGACCCUCACACCUGGACAUAAUCAAUCUACACACCAGAAAUAAAAUUUCCUUCAUCUCCAUUUUAAAUGGCUAAUCCCUCAUCUAAUCGAGGUAGUUUGAGGCAGGGACUUCUGCAACAAUUAAUAAACAUUUAGACAGGUACAUGGAUGGGAUAGGUUUAGAGGGAUAUGGUACAAAUGCUUGCAGGUGGGACUAAUGUAAAUGGGGCACAUUGGUCUGUGUGGGCAAGUUGGGCUGAAGGGCCUGUUUCCACACUGUAUGACUAUGUCUCCCUGAUUCAAUGACUCCUCGGGAUUAUUAUACUUCAAUCAAGUCCCUUCUCCCACUAUUUGCUCUUCUGUUACAUUUCACGAACUUACUCCAGCACCAGCCUAACCUACUCCACCUGAGCCUGAUGAGACUCCACAAUGCAUGUGGGGUUUGAGUCUGACCAGGUGUAAAGAAUGAUUAAACGUUUGGGCUGGGUUGGGUCAGGCCCUGCAAGCUGAGCUGAUGGCUUUCUACAGGUCAGUGUGGUUUGCUCUCUAUUACUGGCAUGUGAAGAACGUGUUUCAACUUGUUCCACUUAUAGCCUGUUUCAGUUCAUAAUUACCCAGCUAUGAGUUUAGUUGGAUUGGCCAUGGUCGGAUUUUUAAUUUUAGUUUAGUUUAGAGAUACAGCAUAGAAACAGGCCCCUCGGCUGACCCAGUCCACUUCGACCAUCGAUCACCCGUUCACACUAGUUCUAUGUUAUCCCACUUUCUCAUCCACUCCCUACACACCAGGGACAAUUUACAGAGGCCAGUUAACCUACAAACCCACACCACUUUGGGAUGUGGGAGGAAACCGGAGCGCCUGAAGGAAACCCAUGGUCACAGGGAGAACGUGCGGUGCAAACUCCACACACCGACAGCACCCAAGCUUAGGAUCAAACCAGCUGUGCCACUGUGCUGCCAUUAUACCGAAGCAGAUCUCAGUGUAUGCUGCACAACGCAUCAACCUCUUGGUCUACAGAUGGACACAUUGUGCUGGAGUAACUCAGCACGAUGGGUGAUGAUUCGAGCUGGAACCCUUCUUCAGACUGAAAGGAGGUGGUGGGGGAGGGGAAGAGGUACAGAGCUGGAGGCAAGGAAAAAUCAGGACCCGCCACAAAUGUCUUCACACAGAAUGGUACCUGGUAGGUUCAUUGUUGGCUAGGGAAUGUGUGAUCUGUGGAAGAACUGUGGAAUUAGUU